CACUUCUCAAGCUAGGGUACAUGUAUCUAGGAGGACAGGACUGUGUCGCUGGGAGGUAGAGUGAGACGGAUGACAGGAGCCACAGAAUCAAAACAGCACAAUCGACUCAUCAGUUCUUUAACUUAAACAUCCAGGCACCUUUGAGAACCAACAGGACGUUCAUGUGCAGAAGAUGUGAUUUCUUCAAUCUAAAGACAGUGGAGAGAGGGGUGUGUGCGUGUGUGCACGGGUGCACGUAUGCAAAUUUGCUGGCCCCUCACAAAAGCUCUAGUUUCUGGAAGGAGAGCCCGAGUGUCCUCAGGCCCAGCGGUUCCAAGCAUUACUGGGUGCCUCCACUGAGAUAGCAAAGGACUCACAGGUCUCCAGGCACCUGGUAAUAAUGUGGAAUUGGCCGGGGCUGCCUGUUGCUGAGGAAGUUCUUGUCAAGUCUGGCCUUGGUGGGAGCACCAGUGGUAGUCAGAGGUUCUUCACCUUUUUUGGGUCAUAGACCCCUUGGAGUGAAAAUGUUGGAGGUUUCUCCUGAAAAGCACACUGCAAUUCAGGGGAUCCCCUGGGUCCUGGAGUCCAUGCAUAGGCAUCAUGGACCCCACAUGGAAACCUCCCUGAUUGAGAGGUCUCGAAAGCUUUUCCAGUCCUAAGAGUACAGUUUCUAAUUUGCUGGAGUCGGCUGGACUUUCAUUCCCUGGCAGAGCCAUUUUGGAGGAUAAGAAGAUGUGUCUUCUCUACCACCGCACAUGCGGUCCACAGUGACUGAGGGGAGUGUCACGGUGCCACCUUGUGCUUCUGUCCUGAAACUGCACCUUCUCUGGGGCCCAUGCUCAGGUCCACACUGCCCACCUCUCACUCCAUGAGCCUCACUCCCUACCACUCUCCCACCUUCUUACUCUGACCAAGCCACAUGGACUCCUGACGUCCCUGCCUUGGGGGCCUUUGCACUGACUGUUCCCCCUGCCUGAAGUCUGGGUUUAAAGCCGUAUACACAAGUGCAGUUUGUACAGUCAUAUCAUGAACCAAGAAAAAAAGCAAAUGUUUAUGAAGAUGCCUUUAUUUUCACUUGGCCUAAAGCGAGAAAGUAUCACAUGAGUAUAUAAAAGAAUUUUUUAAAUUUUGAGGCAGCUUUGAGGAGAGAUUGAGGAAGAUGAGAGGGUGUAGUAGUAAGCUCUCAUUAAGUUUUGCUGCAAUAACAAAUAGCCUCAAAAAUCUCAGUGGCUAGGCCGGGCGUGGUGUCUCAUGCCUGUAAUCCCAGCACUUUGGGAGGCUGGGAUGGAUGGAUCACCUGAGGUCAGAAGUUCAAGACCAGCCUGGCCAACA
rnacentral:lncRNA from 1 species